GGCUAGCAGCUUAAUUCAGCCUCCGGUAAAACUCGGCUUAUGCUCACCGCUACUUGAACCUCAGGUGGAGCUGAAGUUUUGCUGCACCUUUACUUGCACUGGUGGAGGCGGGGCACAGAAUGCAGGUACCAAAUUCAGAGAAGAAAACUGAGUGUCAUAAGACCUCCAUCUUCUACAAGUUGUAUAACUCCCAUCUCCCAGAGAAGGCAUAAGUCCAAAGGUGACGACUACAGGAGCUGCUGUGAGAAGGAAUUUCAGGAAUGCAAAUAAAAAUUAGUAAAGACAUCUAAUAAAAAUAAUCUCCCGUAACUCCCGGUGUCCACCCACUCUGAAGCCACACAGCCUCUGCCAUGAUCCGGCAUCAGCAUUUCAGAGAAAACAUGAACUGCCCUGUCAUCUAUGGCCCGAAAUGAAUGAGGUCAGGCUGCCUGCUGCUGAUGUAGCCCAGACACCUCUGUCCCACCAGCAACUCUCCUCUGCGGCAGGGCUACACGUAUACAGGGCGACAGUCACAGCUCUGGCAUGCUGGGAAACCAGACAAUGCUUUCGGAUUUCUGACUUUCACCCCGCCAGUGUCUUCUGCUGGAGCCGUAGGACUCAUGAGAACGAAGUUCAGCCUCCCGCAGGAGCAGCAUGCGAGUCCGCCAGGACAUGAGCAACUGGGAAGAGGGAAAAUGCAUGCUUUGGGUAGCCAAGAAUGCCAAAGGAUGCAUAAAGGGGCGCUCCAAGAAAUUAUACGUUAUGCUGUGACUUGCUCAGGAAGAGUAGGCAUCUAGCAUUUUCAUUGCAAACGGCUUUGGAGUUACUUGUGUUACAGCUCAGUAAAGGUGGC
rnacentral:lncRNA from 1 species